CCUGGUCAGAUAAGUUCAAGUUCAUCCUCAAACUGUGAACAAUGGCGGAAAAGCAACAGAGCUGAAAAAUGUCCCACCAUUGCCCACGUCAAAGAGACAAAAUAAGAAGACUAAUGAAGAAAAGCAGUGUAAAAACAGAGAAUUGGACCGAGCCAGAGAGAAAACUAUGAGGUGGAGGAGCAGCAGGAUUUGUAAGGACUCCAGUGCGACGCAGAGUUGGCGGCUUUUCUGCUGAACAAAUCUUUUACUGGCCAGGAAAGUUUGAAACUGGGAGGAGAGGACCAAGCUGUAGUUCAUCCUCAGAGGAAUGACAUCAGGCACACAGAGGGGAAAAAGGAUCACGAAACAGCCCCACAGAUCAGAAGCUAUCCUUGGCUGUUAGCUAAUUAGCUCAUGGCCCAGUUAGCUGUGGGGCCGGUGGCCAGAGAGUUUGUUUGGACCAGGACCUUGGAUCACAGGGCGACAGGGCCCAGCUCACCUGGAUCUGGCAGCCUGACGUGAGAGGGAACCUGGCUGGACCGGAAACCAAACCAGGACUGACAGCCUCCAACACGAACUGAGGACCAGCUGA